CGCUGGCAGCCCCGGCCCGCCUCGGGCGCGGCCCUGCCCCAGGAAAUCGGCCUCUGCUGACGUGGGAAGGCCCUGCCUCGCUCCGCACGUCCCGUCCCGUGCUCUCGUGCUCCGGGACUCCAGAACUUCUCUGACCGAAUCAAAUACAGUUUUCCAAAUCGCACGUUGGCCUAUGAUCAAGUUAAAACCCUUCUCUUGUUUCCCGUUCCGAGCCGUAUCCCCCUGUCCAGUAUCGCAGCAGCAGCCGAAGGAGUGGGAAAAAUAUAUGGAAAAUGCAGGCGCAUCAGUGGGUUCUACUUGGAUGUUGGCACGUGGAACUGCAGCAUUCUUCAAGUCCUCCCCUGUGGCUGUCACCUCUGGACAAGGAAUGUGCCAAGUGAGAAGAUAACCAGUGUUCUGCCAGCAGGAAAACAUGCAUUAUUAUAGAAAAUGAGGUGUGAAAGUUACCUCCCCAGUCAACUCACAUGACAUAAGUGGGAUCCACUGAAAGAUUACACAUUGCAAAUUAAGGCUAGAUAUUCUUUUAGGAUUAUUUUAGUAAAUGUGGACAGUAAGAAGGGUUGAUCCUGCUUUAAUAACAGGUCAAUAAUGUUCCUUCCAUAUAUACUGCUCAGUCUCUUCUUCCCCAAAUACUAAGUAUUCAUUAUGCUCUUUGUUGGCAAGUAUCAUUUGCAGGAGCAUGACUUACACAGGGGAUACACUGAUUCUCUUUAGAAGCUGCUGCUUUCUUAUCUUAGUAAUUUAGACAAGCUGAAGUGACCCAGCACUUAUCCUUGAUCUGUUACAUUCAUCAGUGUAGUAAAGUGUGGCCUUGUUCUCUGUGUGCUGAGCGCCCAUGACUCCUGCUGGCUAUCAGUGAUUAUAUCCUGCAGCAAAUCAAAGAAUCGCAGGAUCCCAAAUCCUCAAAACUUUUGCUUUCAGUAUGUCUCUUUUUUAGUUUUCUGUUUAGCUUCCUUACUACACUCAUAGCAGGAGAAUCCCCUAAUUUCCCAGCUGAUUUGUGUAAGCUUAUUGGGAAAUAAGUUCCUUAUUUUAUUUAUGCCCUUUUUUUCCAAAGAGAUCCAGAUGUGGACUGGCAAAUGACAGCAACUUAUCUCUAAGUUGUUUUGGUGAAUAUAAAUGAAAACAUAACUUUUACCUGCUUUUUCCUUCCAUCUUUUCAUGUCCAGGAUGCAGAGAUGAUCUUCUGUUGCUAAAAAUGUCUAGAAAACAAACAAAAAUAGCGUAUCACAAGAUUUGCCUCCUGCCCAGAGACCAGAGUCAGUGAAGCUUUUGGUGUGCACAUAACUCCUAAGCAUAAUGCAACAGGCAAGCCAAUGUUACAAAGUGAGACAGUUGUUAUACUCCCAAAGGACUAGAAAGCUUGUCAAACAUGAAAGUAAUUGAAAUUCCCUUUUAUUCUGGUGUGGUUUUCUCUCCUAAAAUGUAACUAGUAUUUUUGUUCUAGCACUUUUGGCUGACAAGGCAAAUAACUCUGCAUAAAAAAUAAAAAUGUGUUUACUCA